rnacentral:rRNA from 1 species
UACGGGGGGGCAAGCGUUGUUCGGAAUUACUGGGCGUAAAGGGCUCGUAGGUGGCCAACUAAGUCGGGACGUGAAAUCCCUCAGCUUAACUGGGGAACUGCGUCCGAUACUGGAUGGCUUGAGUUUGGGAGAGGGAUGCGGAAUUCCAGGUGUAGCGGUGGAAUGCGCAGAUAUCAGGAGGAACACCGGUGGCGAAGGCGGGUCUCUGGGCAGUAACUGACGCUGAGGAGCGAAAGCGUGGGAGCGAACAGG